rnacentral:rRNA from 1 species
AUACGCUAGCAAAGCUAAUGAGCUUUCAAACUACUUUUAUGGAGAGUUUGAUCCUGGCUCAGGACGA